ACAAGGACAGGGGGUGGGGGUGUCUGUGUGUGGGCGGAUGGGGGUGUCAGUGACACAUGAUGCGUCUUCUCCAGCCACACAUCUGACAGACAUGGUCACAUCCUCAGUUGGCCCUAAUGAAGAUUAAAGUGGGCUUCCUCAUGCUAAGCCCUGCUAAUUAACCAAUCAGCUGGAUGGACAGCUCAGACGAGAGUCAACAGCGAUGGGCAGGCGGCGAUAGGAAGAGUGCCGGCCAGGGCCAGCGAGUGAGAUUGUGUAAUUGCGAUGGUAAUGGAUUCUGUCAGGGGUACCUGUCAGGGAGCCUGCUGCAAACUGGCAAAAAAGGGGGAAGAGGGGGGGGGAUUAACAUUGGGGUGCAGAUGGAGUAUAAAUGCCCCAUACCCCCCCCCCAUUUCAGCCAGGCCCACCUGAUUGCCAAUUUGUGCCAGUUGCCGCGCAUCACGGCGCCACGGGAUAAGAUGGGGGCCGGCGCAGCAGUGGUAUAGGGCCUUUUUUGUAUUUUUUUUUUUCACCACGGCCGGCGGUGCCGGCAAAAGUGUGUGUCAGAGGGAAUAAAUGAGCCGGGCGGGUGGGAUUGAGAGACGGGCUGAGGUUUCAGGUUUAAUUUUCCAAUUUCGAGGAAUGCACCAGUGAUUUCUCCCGCCAGUGCGGGCGGGGAGGCGCUCCGUCGGCCGAGCGUUAUCAGAUGCCACGCUCUCUGCCACGCUUGGCAGCCCCACCAGAUUAAUGAGAGGGAGAGGCAGAGAGAAUCUUCUCUUAACACAGGGAAUGGAGCUAAGAUGCUUGAGACACCCUUUAGAUGUGAGCGACGAGGAGAUAAGGCACAGCUGAACAUAACAGAGCUCCUAUUUGACAUGUUCCAGGUACCUUCUACCAACAGCACAGCUGUUUCAAUGAUGCUAUAAAUUGUAGUUGUUGAAAUAAUGUCAUUCAUUGAUCACCUGCAGUUGUAAGACAUCUAAAAAAAAACUACUAGCUGACAUUAGGUGAAAUAUACAAAAACAUCAAGGCAUGUCAGACUACCUUAAAGAGCCUAACAGGCCUUGGUCUCCCAAGUGUUAAGCGAAACAGUUCUGAUCAUGCAAGCAAGUCACAGAAAGAGCAAAAUCCCAUUGCGGGUCUGCAGGCAGAUGAUCAACUCCUAAAUGGAUGAUUAAAGGACAAGGAUAUGAGAUAUACGAGAUAUGAGGAUAAACGGUUAUGGACAGUUCAUAGUAUGUUUCAGAACCAAUUAAAGGCUCAAAAUGAUAGUAUUACUCCCCAGAAUGAAGAAGUCAUAAAGAUGUGAUGGUGUUACAAGGGUAUCCAGUGAAUACUAUAGAGAAUAAGGGUUAUAUCAAGCCAUUAUUGACAUUGACAAGACUUUGUCGCUGUAUUAUUAGUUUAUGUCCAUUACAUAAAUGUUAGAUGAAAUGUUGUAUCCAGUACGAUUCCAUGUUCACAUUUGAAACAUGUGUCUGCCAAACUUUAUUGAUUGUAUCUUUUUUUAGUGUGCAAUAUAAAAUAUUUUCCUCAAUUUGUUGGCUCACAGAACCUUUACAAACUAUACUUUAUUCUAAACGGCAGGCUGAUCUUCAGAAAGCUGAUGUUUUUGGCACUUUUUAACUACAUUUUUAAGCACUGUAGGGAUGACUUUAGCUGAAUGGGUCAAGAUGUUUUAUGAUCAUGUGGCAGUUACUGCCUAACAACAUCCAUGACUAAUCAUUUACCCUUCAUUUUAUGAUCAGUUUUUAUAAUUUGGCUUUCAGUUUGUCCAUUGGACCAUUUUGACUAUAAACAUUCAUGCUUUUUGCACCUGUUAAUAAAGACACAACAAUAAAUGUUGUUUUUUCUUUUACAUUUGUUUACUUAUUCAUUUAUUUUGUCUGGUUUGUUUUUAAUAAAGUCUCCAUGUUAGCACUGCAACAUAGCUUCUGAAUUUUCACCCUGUGACUAAGACCCACUAAGCCAACAACGUAGGUUGAUGUGAAAGAACCUCUAUGCAGCCAGUGGAAAUAUUAUACCUUUUUAGGGCUUAUACUUAACAUGACUGUUACAAAACCUAAAAUAAUGUUUGAACAGUUAUAUUACAAGAUUAAAAGAUACCUUUUUUUUGUUAACCUCACUACCAUAUUCCAACGAACUGUGAACCCUUCUCACCACAGAAGGACGUAUAGUUACUGAUGAGGUAAAAAUGAUGUUGGUGAACCUAUUUGCCCUAUUUUUUUUUUGUUCCUGUUGGCAUCCACUGCAUUUGAAUGUAUGCAGGUGCCCCUCUUUGCAUUUGGUGCGGUUGAGAUCCGCAGGCUUGCUUUAACUUCUGUUGUGUUUCUCUUUUUUGUCUCAUUUGGGAGGGUUUGAAGUGGUGGCUUAGCUUCUCAUCCUCUUACACGCCGGGCGUCUGUGUGAAGCAGCCGCCGUGGAGGGCUUCCACAGCAGCGUAAUCUGCCACGCUUUUGUUCUGGGCUAGACUUACAUUAUUCAUUUCACAGGGGCCACGGGCAUCAGAGACUCGGGCGGGCGGCGAGGGGUAGAGGUGGGAGGUGUGGGACUCACUGUUGCGAACAGUCUUGAAAUACCGAAAAAAUGAAAUACCGAAACUGUAUCCACAGGUCUCUCAGAACUCUCACGACUCAAAAAAAGGUUCUUUUGCUCGUUUUUUUUUCUUCUUUCCUUCAGUCUGUCUUGAGUUCUUGCUUGAUGUUCUCAUCUGUUCUCUUUCACUCUUUCGCUCUCUGUGCCUCCGGUGAUUGUGCCCUCUCCUGUGUUCCCUUUGCUGGGCUUUACUCUAAGACAAAAGCCACUUCAGAGAGAGAAAGAGAGAGAGAGAGAGAGAGAGAGAGAGAGAGAGAGAGAGAGAGAGAGAGAAGGGAAUGACUCAUGAUUUAAAAAGACAGAAAGGAAAGACAGACAUAAAGGUUGUUAAAGGUUCCUUUUCACUGAGUCUUUUCAUUUGCUGACUGCUGACUGCUGACUGCUGAAAGCGUACGCACCUGUUAUGUGCUUGGAAUGCACAAUGUAGGGAGAACUGGGUGAAAUUAAGAGGGGGGAAAAAAUGAGAUGGAUGGAUGGAUGAACGGAUGGAUAGAUGAAUGGAAUGGCCAUGGCAUACUGCUCCCAUCUCAGCCAGACAGACUGCUGUGCUCAGAGUGUGUGUGUCUGGCUAUGAAUGAGUAUCUGUGUGUAUGUGUGUGUGUGUGUGUGUGUGUGUGUGUGUGUGUGUGUGUGUGUAUGUGUGGGUGUGUGUCUGUAUGUAUGAGCUCCGUCUCUUUGAAUGUAUUUAUGUGUGAGUCUGUGUGUCUUUGUACAUGAGCUUUUGUACUAUUGCCUAAUCAUUUCUUUAUGUGUCACAGUGUCAGCAUGUAUGUUUGUAUUUUUUUUGACCGAGCACGAGCAUGUCUCUGCUUCAGUCUGUGUCUCCGCGUGUCAAUAUCCACGCCUGUGUGUGAGAGUGUGUCUUUGUGUGUGCCUGUGUGUGUAUGUGUGUGUGUGUGUGUGUGUGUGUGUGAGUAUGUGUUUCUCGGCAGCAGCAGCAGCGGGAGGAGGAAGAGGAGGAGGAGGAGGAGGAGGAGGGGUGGUGGUGGUGGUGUUUGUGAUGCAGGGCACGUUGUCUGAGGGCUGCUGGCUGCUCGGGGUUGUGGGAGCCUCAUUAGCGCGGCGCUGCAGCCCAAGAGCCAGGAUCAGCCUCCACCCCGCAGCCUCCAGCCACUGGCAGAGACUCGCCCCGGAUCACAACCCCCACAACCAGCCAACACAGAUACACACACACACACAUAAAUACCAUACACUGUCAUACAUCUCUCUCUCUCUCUCUCUCUCUCUCUCUCUCUCUCUCUCUGUCACACACUCAUACAUAUGCACAC
ensembl:lncRNA